UACGGAGGAUGCGAGCGUUAUCCGGAUUUAUUGGGUUUAAAGGGUGCGUAGGCGGGUUGUUAAGUCAGCGGUGAAAGUUUGCGGCUCAACCGUAAAAUUGCCGUUGAAACUGGCAGUCUUGAGAACAGACGAGGUAGGCGGAAUGUAACGUGUAGCGGUGAAAUGCAUAGAUAUGUUACAGAACUCCGAUUGCGAAGGCAGCUUACCAGACUGUGUCUGACGCUGAGGCACGAAAGCGUGGGUAUCAAAC
rnacentral:rRNA from 1 species